GUCAGUAUGAAUGGUUCUAGAAGGCUAGUGUUCUGUUGUCAGUAUGAAUGGUUCUAGAAGGCUAGUGUUCUGUUGUCAGUAUGAAUGGUUCUAGAAGGCUAGUGUUCUGUUGUCAGUAUGAAUGGUUCUAGAAGGUUAGUGUUCUGUUGUCAGUAUGAAUGGUUCUAGAAGGCUAGUGUUCUGUUGUCAGUAUGAAUGGUUCUAGAAGGUUAGUGUUCUGUUGUCAGUAUGAAUGGUUCUAGAAGGCUAGUGUUCUGUUGUCAGUAUGAAUGGUUCUAGAAGGCUAGUGUUCUGUUGUCAGUAUGAAUGGUUCUAGAAGGCUAGUGUUCUGUUGUCAAUAUGAGUGGUUCUAGAAGGCUAGUGUUCUGUUGUCAAUAUGAAUGGUUCUAGAAGGCUAGUGUUCUGUUGUCAGUAUGAAUGGUUCUAGAAGGCUACUGUUCUGUUGUCAAUAUGAAUGGUUCUAGAAGGCUACUGUUCUGUUGUCAAUAUGAAUGGUUCUAGAAGGCUAGUGUUCUGUUGUCAAUAUGAAUGGUUCUAGAAGGCUAGUGUUCUGUUGUCAAUAUGAAUGGUUCUAGAAGGCUAGUGUUCUGUUGUCAAUAUGAAUGGUUCUAGAAGGCUAGUGUUCUGUUGUCAAUAUGAGUGGUUCUAGAAGGCUAGUGUUCUGUUGUCAAUAUGAGUGGUUCUAGAAGGCUAGUGUUCUGUUGUCAAUAUGAGUGGUUCUAGAAGGCUAGUGUUCUGUAGACUAGUUUUCUGUGCUAAUGGUCCCUAGUGGGCAAUAAAACGAAAGUAGGAGGACAGAGAGGGGGAUAUUAGGAGGAGAGACAGAGAGGGAGGAUAUUAGGAGGAGAGACAGAGAGGGAGGAUAUUAGGAGGAGAGACAGAGAGGGAGGAUAUUAGG